UACGUAGGGCGCAAGCGUUAUCCGGAAUUAUUGGGCGUAAAGAGCUCGUAGGCGGUUUGUCGCGUCUGCCGUGAAAGUCCGGGGCUCAACUCCGGAUCUGCGGUGGGUACGGGCAGACUAGAGUGAUGUAGGGGGAGACUGGAAUUCCUGGUGUAGCGGUGAAAUGCGCAGAUAUCAGGAGGAACACCGAUGGCGAAGGCAGGUCUCUGGGCAUUAACUGACGCUGAGGAGCGAAAGCACGGGGAGCGAACAGG
rnacentral:rRNA from 1 species